AUUGUCCUUUGGACAAUGGUAGGAGAGCGUUCUAAGGGCGUUGAAGCAUGAUCGUAAGGACAUGUGGAGCGCUUAGAAGUGAGAAUGCCGGUGUGAGUAGCGAAAGACGGGUGAGAAUCCCGUCCACCGAUUGACUAAGGUUUCCAGAGGAAGGCUCGUCCGCUCUGGGUUAGUCGGGUCCUAAGCUGAGGCCGACAGGCGUAGGCGAUGGAUAACAGGUUGAUAUUCCUGUACCACCUAUAAUCGUUUUAAUCGAUGGGGGGACGCAGUAGGAUAGGCGAAGCGUGCGAUUGGAUUGCACGUCUAAGCAGUAAGGCUGAGUAUUAGGCAAAUCCGGUACUCGUUAAGGCUGAGCUGUGAUGGGGAGAAGACAUUGUGUCUUCGAGUCGUUGAUUUCACACUGCCGAGAAAAGCCUCUAGAUAGAAAAUAGGUGCCCGUACCGCAAACCGACACAGGUAGUCAAGAUGAGAAUUCUAAGGUGAGCGAGCGAACUCUCGUUAAGGAACUCGGCAAAAUGACCCCGUAACUUCGGGAGAAGGGGUGCUCUUUAGGGUUAACGCCCAGAAGAGCCGCAGUGAAUAGGCCCAAGCGACUGUUUAUCAAAAACACAGGUCUCUGCUAAACCGUAAGGUGAUGUAUAGGGGCUGACGCCUGCCCGGUGCUGGAAGGUUAAGAGGAGUGGUUAGCUUCUGCGAAGCUACGAAUCGAAGCCCCAGUAAACGGCGGCCGUAACUAUAACGGUCCUAAGGUAGCGAAAUUCCUUGUCGGGUAAGUUCCGACCCGCACGAAAGGCGUAACGAUUUGGGCACUGUCUCAACGAGAGACUCGGUGAAAUCAUAGUACCUGUGAAGAUGCAGGUUACCCGCGACAGGACGGAAAGACCCCGUGGAGCUUUACUGUAGCCUGAUAUUGAAAUUCGGCACAGCUUGUACAGGAUAGGUAGGAGCCUUUGAAACGUGAGCGCUAGCUUACGUGGAGGCGCUGGUGGGAUACUACCCUAGCUGUGUUGGCUUUCUAACCCGCACCACUUAUCGUGGUGGGAGACAGUGUCAGGCGGGCAGUUUGACUGGGGCGGUCGCCUCCUAAAAGGUAACGGAGGCGCUCAAAGGUUCCCUCAGAAUGGUUGGAAAUCAUUCAUAGAGUGUAAAGGCAUAAGGGAGCUUGACUGCGAGACCUACAAGUCGAG
rnacentral:rRNA from 1 species